UACGUAGGGGGGCAAGCGUUGUCCGGAAUCAUUGGGCGUAAAGCGCGUGUAGGCGGUUUCGGUAAGUCUGCUGUGAAAGUCCAGGGCUCAACCCUGGGAUGCCGGUGGAUACUGUCGGACUAGAGUACGGAAGAGGCGAGUGGAAUUCCCGGUGUAGCGGUGAAAUGCGCAGAUAUCGGGAGGAACACCAAUUGCGAAGGCAGCUCGCUGGGACGUCACUGACGCUGAGACGCGAA
rnacentral:rRNA from 1 species